UUUGGUUUUAAGUUACUUUCCUUAUAAGUUAGUUAGUUGGUCGACGUAGGGUACGGAACCAACCUUGAUGUGACAUUUGUUCUGUUUGUUAUCUUCAUGUAUGUGUAGUGGACACACUAGAGCAUUAUGAUGACAUCAUCAUUAUUGGACAGAACUUUCAAGGUGUAACGAGUGAGUCACACAGAACUACAAUUUAAUAUCACUCUUAUAUAUGUUUUUAUGAUAUAUUGAACAUGCGUUUAAUGAAUCAUCAUGGCUUUAUCAGGUUUAAUCUAAUAGUCUCAGACAGUCAUGAGGAGAAUGAGAUGAAUGACACAAGCUGUGUUACACAUUACAAUGUGAGGUUUUAUUUCACAUGUGUAUCAGAGGGAGAUCAGGAGGAGUAUGAUGAUGUGAAGAACAGCAAUGAAGAUGAGAAACCUGUUAGACUAUGAUGAUGUGGGGGAGGAGUCAAAUAAAGAAGGAGGGGCCAUAUGACUCAAUGACCACACCCUCUGCCUCUGUUCAUGAAUCAUAUUACAGUUACUGGAGACAAAAUUCAGUAUCAACAGUAAUUUAAAUUAUUUGUUAUUUUAGCUAUUUGGUUCUUUUAUUACCUAUUUUGAUAUCAAUGCUUUCACCUAAUAAACAAAAUAUAUCAUUCCAACAUCAUGUCAACAAAAUACUUUAAAAGAGUCGUUAGAGAAAAGAAGAAAGUUAUGCUAUAAAUGUUUAAGAAAGUAUUUUAAGGCACUGCUGUACUUUUAGGCUGCUGACAGCAUUAUUUACCAUAAAUAUAAUGAUAAAAAUAGAUUUACCAGAUAAUAGAUAUUAUAAAGCUUCAUGUUUUUCCAUAAGCUUACUGUCAUAGCAUUAGUUCUGUACUGUUAGCUUGAAUUAACUUAAGAAGAGUAUAAUUUAAUAUUUUAUUUACUUACAAGAAAUAUUACUGGGAAGUACAAACAAAAAAAAAAAAAAAAAAAACCUAAAAGACACAGUUUAUUGUGUGAUUACAGUCUGAUUUUAUGGAUGAUACUGAAUUAUUUGCGCUGAGCUUCAAUCUUUUGCAGCAACAGCUCCAUAUGCAGGUUAAGGUUGGGCUGACCCUUUUUGGUUUUCUUUUCAACAACUGAUAUGUUGCUGUUUUCUUCUCCUUGUAUUUCUUCAGAGCCUCCUCUCGCUGAGCUUUGUCUUUCAAGAAUUCCUACACACACACAUAAUAAAACAUGCAUCAAUCAUUUGCCAAAGAAUGUAAAAGAUGAUUAAACUGUGUGUUUACGUGACAUAAUGGGCCCUUCCUUAAUGACAGGAGAUUCAUUAGGAAAUAGAAAACUGUACAAGAAUUCCAUCAUACUGAUACAUUUGCUAGGUUUGAUUUCCUCACCUCUCUUUUUCGUGCACGUUCCUCCUUUAUCCUUUCAUAUUCUUGCUUUGUCUUCUGAUACGAUGACAUUUUACUGAUACAUUUGCUAGGUUUUAUUUCCUCACCUCUCUUUUUCGUGCUCGUUCCUCCUUUAUCCUUUCAUAUUCUUGCUUUGUCUUCUGAUACGAUGACAUUUUCUGCUUCUGCUUUCUUUGGAUGAAUGAGUCUUGUGGGAGCUGAUGACACAAAUCAGAAAUGUGGCUUUGUAUAUUUGUGUGUGUGUGUAUAUACAUAAUACAUACAGAAUGAGAGAGAGAUGAGAUUCAAACAGAAUACAUUCCAAGUUUAGUCCUUUUUAUGCACACUAUGAACUAUUUAUUGUAUGUACUGGUUGAUAGUGUAAAUACAAUAUAGCAAAAUAUGCAAAAGAAGCCUUGGAUUUUUUUAAGGAAAUUAUAUAAACACUUUGAAAAAUGCAUGUAAACUAUGGAAUGAUUUUUGUGUCUUUAUUAUUCAAUCAACAUUCUGUGUUUGAAAGUAAGACUAAU
rnacentral:lncRNA from 1 species